CCCAUAAAGUAGGCUACGAACUGUGUGUGCUUAUCUAAAUCGUUCGGAAGUCCGUAGAGAACAUGAGUCACACAGACACAGACGGACGGACAGACGCCACACACAGAUCUAUAGCAGGCGGCAAGUGGUUCUGGGACAGAGGUGGCCCAGUGCUGGCGCAGAUCCAGACAUCACAGCCCCACAGAAGCCUGGUACCUUUACCCAGAUGGCUGCAGGCUCCACAGCAGAUCCAGUCUGGUGGUUGAAUCUAUUGCAUCUGUGCCACACAGAUCAGUGUCUGACACGGUUGAGUGAGCCGGAGGAUAAACCACACUCGACUUACUGUAACUGAGGAACUGGAUCUGGCAGCCAUUACUCUCCACGUUCUGCCUCAAGACUCUCCAUUUUGUUGUGUUCAGGGGAGGCGUGCACAUUCACCGUGACCUUCCAGUCCAUCUCAUUUUAUUAGCACAUGACCUUGGUGAGCCUGAACGCCCGCCACCUCCUCCUAUCAUUGUCAAUCAUUGGAUGGAGUUUUCGUCAUCUCCGAGAGACAGGACACACUAUGCAGAAUGAAUAUGCACUGGGUGUUAUCUCCUCGCAGUAUUAGAUCAGGCUGAGGAGGGAGAAAGGGUGGGGUGGGGGGGGGGUCUCACUAUUGUCAUGUAAAUUAUCCUUCAAGGCACUCUGCUGUCUGCCGGAUGGCAUCUUGUUAUUAUGAGCUAUAAGGAACAGCUUGUUCUAGGACAAGGAGAGAGAGAGAGAGAGAGAGAGAAAGAGAGGGAGAAAGAGAAAGAGAUGCUCAUCUGUAUGAAAUGUGUUCAUAUGUCAGGCCUCUUCCUAGGACUUUUGGCCGCCCUGCUGGCCAUUCUGUGCAUGACAUUACCUUGUGGUCCGUUUUAGUUUUGCUUUACCAUGUGCUUUUUGCUUGUUUUUGUGGAUCAUGUGCUUUUGUUUGUGUUUUGUUAUUCCAUGUGCUCCUGACCCCACCCUUUACCUGCUGUGUUCUACUCCCUGCCAUUUCCUGCAUUCACAGGGUCACGUUCUAUCUUUAUUUACCCCCUUCUCUGUUUGUCCCAGAUUGUCCCAGCCUUUUGAUUGUGUCCAUCUAGCCGUUUGUCCUGUUUUGUGUUCUGUAUCAUGCCUUUUUCUGGUUUGGGGAUUUUGCCUGCUGUUUUGGGUUGUUUGUCUGCCUGUGUUCCUGUUUCUCAGUUUGAGCUUUGCCUGCUCCUGGACUACUCUUUGUGACUGCGAUCUUGAUUGUCCAGCUUUUGUUGGGCAGCCAUCUUGAGCCCUGUUUGUUUUUCCUGUGAGACUGGAGAAUCUUGUGUUGAGAUGAGUCAUUCUCUCUCUUUCUCUCAUUAUGACAUCACAUCUCACGUGUCCAUCUGUAUGACAUGUCUCAAAUGGAGAAGAACAGUUCAGCCUUUAAAGUGGUUGGAGAGGAAAUGUUUAGUAGAACACAGUUGAUGGAAGAACACCUCAGAGCACAGAGAGGUUGUGGAUGUCGCAGAGUUGCAUCUAUGAUUCAGCUGUGUUUCUAAAGAAAGGAAAGGCUCAAGAAUAAUAAUGAUAAUAAAGCUCUCCUUUACGUGUGAAA